rnacentral:rRNA from 1 species
AUGAACGCUAGCUACAGGCUUAACACAUGCAAGUCGAGGGGAAACGAUAGAGAAAGCUUGCUUUUUCUAGGCGUCGACCGGCGCACGGGUGAGUAACGCGUAUCCAACCUGCCCAUCACUUGGGGAUAACCUUGCGAAAGUAAGACUAAUACCCAAUGAGGUCUCUAGAAGACAUCUGAAAGAGAUUAAAGAUUUAUCGGUGAUGGAUGGGGAUGCGUCUGAUUAGCUUGUUGGCGGGGUAACGGCCCACCAAGGCGACGAUCAGUAGGGGUUCUGAGAGGAAGGUCCCCCACAUUGGAACUGAGACACGGUCCAAACUCCUACGGGAGGCAGCAGUGAGGAAUAUUGGUCAAUGGGCGAGAGCCUGAACCAGCCAAGUAGCGUGCAGGAUGACGGCCCUAUGGGUUGUAAACUGCUUUUAUAAGGGAAUAAAGUGGGAGUCGUGACUCCUUUUGCAUGUACCUUAUGAAUAAGGACCGGCUAAUUCCGUGCCAGCAGCCGCGGUAAUACGGAAGGUCCGGGCGUUAUCCGGAUUUAUUGGGUUUAAAGGGAGCGUAGGCCGGAGAUUAAGCGUGUUGUGAAAUGUAGACGCUCAACGUCUGCACUGCAGCGCGAACUGGUUUCCUUGAGUACGCACAAAGUGGGCGGAAUUCGUGGUGUAGCGGUGAAAUGCUUAGAUAUCACGAAGAACUCCGAUUGCGAAGGCAGCUCACUGGAGCGCAACUGACGCUGAAGCUCGAAAGUGCGGGUAUCGAACAGGAUUAGAUACCCUGGUAGUCCGCACGGUAAACGAUGGAUGCCCGCUGUUGGUCUGAAUAGGUCAGCGGCCAAGCGAAAGCAUUAAGCAUCCCACCUGGGGAGUACGCCGGCAACGGUGAAACUCAAAGGAAUUGACG